rnacentral:rRNA from 1 species
UACGGAGGGGGCUAGCGUUGUUCGGAAUUACUGGGCGUAAAGCGCACGUAGGCGGCUUUGCAAGUUAGAGGUGAAAGCCCGGAGCUUAACUCCGGAAUUGCCUUUAAAACUGCAUCGCUAGAAUUGUGGAGAGGUGAGUGGAAUUCCGAGUGUAGAGGUGAAAUUCGUAGAUAUUCGGAAGAACACCAGUGGCGAAGGCGGCUCACUGGCCCGGUACUGACGCUGAGGUGCGAAAGCGUGGGGAGCAAACAGG